rnacentral:rRNA from 1 species
CGGGUGAGUAACACGUAUCCAACCUGCUGUCUACUCUUGGACAGCCUUCUGAAAGGAAGAUUAAUACAAGAUGGCAUCAUGAGUCCGCAUGUUCACAUGAUUAAAGGUAUUCCGGUAGACGAUGGGGAUGCGUUCCAUUAGAUAGUAGGCGGGGUAACGGCCCACCUAGUCUUCGAUGGAUAGGGGUUCUGAGAGGAAGGUCCCCCACAUUGGAACUGAGACACGGUCCAA